UAACUGGUCGAUCCUGCCAGUAGUCAUAUGCUUGUCUCAAAGAUUAAGCCAUGCAUGUCUAAGUAUGAAUAGUAUUCUUGAUACUGUGAAACUGCGAAUGGCUCAUUAAAUCAGUUAUAGUUUAUUUGAUAGUUUGCAACUCGUUUUUCGGAGCGGUGUUGUGCUAGACGGAUAGCCGUGGUAAUUCUAGAACUAAUACGUGCGACAAGGCCCGAGAGAGGGGUGUGUGUGUAUGCGCAUUUUUUCUUUUCGAGGGCUGCAUUUGUUAGGUAUAAAGCCAGCAGGAACAUGACUGGUGAAUCAGAAUAACUUUGCAGACCGUUACACUUUUGUGUGUGAUGGUGUCUCAUUCGAAUUUCUGCCCUAUCAACUUUC
rnacentral:ncRNA from 1 species